GACGAACGCUGGCGGCGUGCUUAACACAUGCAAGUCGAGCGGUAAGGCCCUUUCGGGGGUACACGAGCGGCGAACGGGUGAGUAACACGUGGGUGACCUGCCCUCAGCUCUGGGAUAAGCCUGGGAAACCGGGUCUAAUACCGGAUAUGACUCCAUGACGCAUGUUGUGGGGUGGAAAGCCUUGUGCGGCUGAGGAUGGGCCCGCGGCCUAUCAGCUUGUUGGUGGGGUGAUGGCCUACCAAGGCGACGACGGGUAGCCGGCCUGAGAGGGCGACCGGCCACACUGGGACUGAGACACGGCCCAGACUCCUACGGGAGGCAGCAGGUGGGGAAUCUUGCGCAAUGGGCGAAAGCCUGACGCAGCGACGCCGCGUGAGGGAUGACGGCCUGGUU
rnacentral:rRNA from 1 species